rnacentral:lncRNA from 1 species
CAAGAAGCACCUCUGUGGUGCCACUGACCCAUGGAUUAAUAUAUCAGAGGAGCAGUAACGGAACCGGGAAACACACCAGACCUUAACCCAUCGCUGGAAGUGUAAAUACAACGUCAUAAGCAGGGAAAAUUUUGGUAGAGAUGCUUUUUAAAAAGUUUAAAAAUAGGAUUCUUUAAUGCAGCGAACUGGACAUUGCUAGGAGAGGGAAAAAUCAUAUUCAUAUAUAUAAUAAGCUGGAAGGUUUCAAGUGGUUAGAAGAGAGAAUUUUAAAAAGGACAAUGUAAAGGAACAAAAAAAUAGGAUGGGAGGUGGAAGGGAAAGACCAUAAAAGGGAAGAAGGUGGGAAGGGAUGAAGCCAUGAAGGCAAGGAGGUGCAGACUGACUCUGUUGUGGUGCCUAAGAGAACAGCUUUGGAACCAAUGAGUUAACUCUCAGCUCUGUCUCCUACUGAUUAUGUGACUCUGGGUGGUCACUCAGCCUCUCUGAACUUCAAUUUCCUCAACCAUAAAAUGUAGUUAAUGAUGCUUGGCAUCUCGAUUUCUUACCAGAGUGCCUACUUCGUCAUGAUGUUGUAAGAUGACACAGGUGAAGAAGACUCUGAGGCCGGAGGGUAUUGGCCCACAACUACGCAGCUGGGAAGGGGAUCGCACUCAAAGACACGAUUCUGAUUUGCUCAAGUUUAGCUGCAACUCUGAGAGGGGAAAUAUCCUGCUUUUCAUUUAUAAAAAAAAAUCCCAGAGAGAGGAUCUACGCCCAUGAGUCUCAGAUUCCGAAGCCCACUCUCUUUCCACUUUAUCACGGAGAACAUUACAGAUGAGCAUUUUGUAAACUGUGAUGUGUGUAGCUCUCCGCGAAGCACCCCUGCCCGAUGGAAAGACAAUGUCAGCCAAGAGUAGGAGACGUGCAUGUGAUUCAAAACUCUCCAAAAGCCACAUUAAAAAAAAGCAAAUGAAACCGUGAAACUAAUUUUAAUAAUGUAUUUUACUGAACCCAAUAUACCCCGAAUACUUUUAUUUAAACAUGUAAUCAGUACAAAAAUGAUUGAUGAGUUAUUUUACAUUCUUU